GCCAUUUUACCUCCCGAACGGCCAGCGGUGUUCAGUGCCCAAACUAUGGAACUGAAAACGGACACUUAUUGGCGUGAACACUGCUGAGCCGCCAGGCUCCUUACCUUCCCAUUCGGUAGCGGAACCGAAUGACUGUUCAUUCAGUAGUUUAACCGGAUGAACAGCAUCAUCCCAGAUAGCUAAGCCAUGGAGCCUGUUCGUGUAACGAAAG